UUGGAGCACUACAUUGGUGGCUGUUUUCCAAGAAGCUGACAAAUGGAGAAUAAUUGCCAUUGACAAGGGGUGCAGUUAUACCUGCUAUCAAGAGGGUGAAUUAUCAUGCAGUGGAAUGGCUCCAGGAUGAUUGCAUGCAUCCAGAACUACCUGCCUCUCUCAGGCACGGAUGGUCCUUGGAGGAUGGACUGAUCACACCAGUUAUGUGUAAAAUAUCAUGUGCUCCCAAAUCAAUCCUUCAGCUAAUCAUAUACUCAUGUGCAAAGACCAGAUGCUCACUGCCCUGCAAAUGUUUGGCUAGCAGCCUGCCUUGUACGGAGACAUGUGAGUGUGGCACGGACGAGGAUCAAUGUGACAAUGUGCCAGCAGUGGUGCCCUAGACGGAGAUGACACUGAUGAUGAUUUUGAUAAUUGUGUUCAGUCUUACAUGUCAAGGCUAACUUCCAUAGGAUUACCAAAGCCCAAUGUCUUUUUUUAUAGUCAAUGUAUAAGGCCCAGCAGCUCUCAAACUCAGGCCUGCAGAUCUUCUACUCAGUGAACACCUCUACACUUCCACCCAGCAGCAACAGAAGCCAGUUCACACUCCACUACCCACAACUCGCUGAAAAUACAGACCUCAGGAAGUCCUGCCUCAAGGGUCCAACAGGCAGUAGCUUCAUGGCUCCUGAUUGGCUCCCCACCCUAUAUAAACCCAAGUGGCAUUCCAAGAAGCAUCCAGACAACAGUGUGGACUUUCUGUAACUGCUAUGACCAUUCCAGCUUUCUGCUAUCAAACUCCUGGGUUUGACCUCAGCUAGAUUUGGACCUUGCCUCCAGAACUGGACCCUGAAACCUGGCUCGAACUCUGAUCCUUGAGAUUGAUCCUGGCCUGGAACUUGACGACAAGCUCCUCUGCUACUCUCAGCCUCAGGUGCCUAUCUCCACUCCACGUAUUGAUGCAUCAUGGUGACUAUAGACCUGUGACCUGAAAUAUCAGCAGUGCUGGAGGAAGCAGUUGGUGACACAUGAGCUGAUCUAGAGUGUGAAGCAGCCUGCUGAAGUUCUGCCAACAAAACAGACGUGAAGCUGAUCCUGCAUGUGCACCCCAACACUCAGCAUCAUGCUUUCCUCCCAGAUGCCAUUCAGCAGCUAAAGCCCAGGACUACACCACAGGAACAGCUUCUGAACAGCAGUAAGAGGAAGCCCCAAGCAGGCCUAUGAGAUCAUG